rnacentral:rRNA from 1 species
AUGUUGGGGUGGCAUCUUCUUCGAGCGGGAGGUGUGCCUCGUCCUCGCACAUGCUCGGCCGCGCCAUCGGAGCCCCCCGCAGAGGCAGUGCUCCGCCACCCGAUGCUGUUCUUCGCAUCGUCCCGCGCUCCCAAAGCUGGGAACCGGCUCCCCGCCUCCAAGUUCUCGGCAUCGACGUCCCGUGCUGCCUGCAUCCUCGCCAAGCCCGACUCGCAGCCGUGUAGCCCGAGCUCGCCAAGGCGCUUCAACUCCGCCGCCGCGCCAUCUUCUUCAGGCGCUCGAGCACGAGCACAAGCUCGCCCGCGCCCCACCUCUCUCUGCCGCUCCGUCCGCCGCCCGCGGUGCCGUGACCCGUCACUGCCGUGCCCUGCAUCACUCUGUAGCCGCACCGCCUGGGUCGAUGCGGUCAGCGCUCCCAAGCCGUUGACCCCGCGCCAGGGGACGACUAUUUCCUCCCAUGCGUGCGCGCCCGUGCUCCAGCCCUCCCGUCCCCAUGCUGCCGGCACACUCGCGCUGCGGGGCCGUAUCCAGCCUGUGCCUGGACGACGGAAGCCCCCCCACUGUCCGUGCGCUCCGGCCAGCUCCCUGUCGCGCUCGAGACCUCCUCGAGUCUUCCCGCCGAGGCCUUCCCGGUGA